CUGGAUCACUGCUACACCACGUACAGAAUGUACAUUCAGCAUCUCCACACUCUGCAUGGAGAUACUGAAUGUUCCCCAAAGAGAUGCAUUGAUUUAAUGCAUCUCUAUGAGGAGAUACUAAUUGGCGCAGCAUUUUGCUAUGAAGUUUGAUGAACUCAGCCAAGGGGGUGGAGCAUAGGCAGGCCAGCUGUGACCAGACCCAGGAGGCUUUGAAAAAGGUGAGUAAAUCACAUUUUUAAC